CUAUGUGUUGUUGGGUAGGGGAGCGUUCUGUAAGCCUGUGAAGGUGGCCUGUGAGGGUUGCUGGAGGUAUCAGAAGUGCGAAUGCUGACAUAAGUAACGAUAAAGCGGGUGAAAAGCCCGCUCGCCGGAAGACCAAGGGUUCCUGUCCAACGUUAAUCGGGGCAGGGUGAGUCGACCCCUAAGGCGAGGCCGAAAGGCGUAGUCGAUGGGAAACAGGUUAAUAUUCCUGUACUUGGUGUUACUGCGAAGGGGGGACGGAGAAGGCUAUGUUGGCCGGGCGACGGUUGUCCCGGUUUAAGCGUGUAGGCUGGUUUUCCAGGCAAAUCCGGAAAACCAAGGCUGAGGCGUGAUGACGAGGCACUACGGUGCUGAAGCGACAAAUGCCCUGCUUCCAGGAAAAGCCUCUA
rnacentral:rRNA from 1 species